rnacentral:misc_RNA from 1 species
UAUGUUUGAAAAUUUACUACAAUAGUUAAAACAGAAAAGAGUAAUAUUGUUUAAAAUAACACUUUAUAUACAUUUCAAUUAUGGACGAAGCAAAAUUUUUAUGACAUGUGGAUUAGUUUUUAAUAAAAAAGAUGACUGAAAAACAUCAACAAAAGUUAUUAAGAGUUUGCAGAAUUUGUGGAAAUUUAACAGGAAAAGACUCUCUAACAACUGCCAGUAGGACUGAAAGAAUAUUUAAUGUUUUUAAAAUAAAUACUAAAGAAGAUUGUGUAGAGGUUCAUCCACCACAAAUGUGCCUAAAAUGUUAUUCAACUAUGAAGAAUAUUGAAACACGAGGAAAUAAACUAUCUAAGAUUAAACCAAAAAUUUGGUUAAAAUGUCCAACAAAGGAGUGUAUGUGUAUUUAUGGUAAAGUUGGUCGAAAACCAUCUCCAAAUGUUGGACGGCCAGGAGUUUUUAAAAGAUGGACACAACUAAAUAUAAACUUGUUUCUUGAAUCCUUGCCCUUACCUUUAAACAAAAAAGAAAUUUCUGAAUUCAAUAUUCAGCUAAACCCACAUAUAACAUUAUGUAUUUGUAAAGUUUGUGGGAGGAUAAUGCAUCAACCAGUCAUGAUCAAAGAUUGUCAGCACUCGUUUUGUAGUCAAUGUAUUAUAUCAAUUAUUAAAGGUAAGCUAGAAAAUGAAGCAAGAUGUCCUGUUUGUUUAACCUGCAUUAUGAUUAAUAGCCUUUGUAGUUCUGUUCAUGUAUUGGAGAUGAUUGAACAUUUGUAUAUUGCAUGCAAGAUUUGCGAAAAAAACUUUAUUAAAGACAAGUAUGAAAAUCAUGAGUGCAAAAAAGAUCAUUUAUUAAAUAAUUCCAGCACAAUAGUUGAUGAUUUAUUUAAAGUUGAUAAGUCAAGUCAUAUUCCACGUAAUAUUGAAGAUGCAGUGUUGCAUGUAAUUAAACAAAAAAUGGAGAAUUCAAAAACAACUACAAUUGAAUUUUUAUCUGGUGGCCCAAGAGUAAGACCCCUUUGCUUAACUGUUAUGCCCAAAGCCUACAAGGAAAGUGCAUCUUGCAGUGGUCAUACCUUGAGAAAAAGACACAAACACCUAGUGGACCAAGCUAAUCAUCAAGUUGGAAAUUCAAAAGAUUCACUAGUAGUGCAAACAUCAGUUAUGCUUAAAUCAUUUGAUCACAAUCAAAAAAAUAAAGUUUUAGAAAGUGCUAAGAUUGGAGUUGUUGAGUUUUCUGCUGAAGAAUUGGUUGCUUUUAAAGCAAAUGUAGGGGUACCGUGGAAUAAAUUAAAAACUAUGACUAGAUGGUUAAACUCAAGAAAUAUUAAGACUGCUUCAAACUUUAAACAAAGAGUAGUUGCAAAUACCUGGGCAGGAAAUGAUCUUGUUGUAUUAAAUGGAGAUUUUACAUUUCAAAAUGAAAAUAAUAAGUCAGUUUUUGAAAUCAAACAUGCUCCCUGGGCAUACAUAGACAAUCUACCCACUAAUAUUAAAAACCUGUUAGAUAUUCUUGAAAGUUUUAAGUUAAUAAAACAUGAUGGAAUAAAAAAUGAUGAAAUACACAUAAAAAUUGGAGGAGACCAUGGAGGUGGUUCAUUUAAAAUGAGUUACUAAAUUGUAAACCAAGACCAACCAAACUCAAAAUCAAAUAGUAUUGUAUUCAGUACGUUUGAAGCAAGAGACUACCGAACUAAUCUUAAAGUAGGGUUAUCUCGAUAUACAUUACAAGUUGAUGAGAUACAAAAAAUGAUAUGGCAAAAUCAUAAUGUUCGUGUUUUUAUAUUUGGAGAUUAUGAUUUCCUUUGCAGUGUAUAUGGAAUCACAGGAGCGAGUGGUAGG